rnacentral:piRNA from 1 species
UUGCUGAAAGUAUCGGCAGAUUGCCAUUA